ACGGGUGAGUAAUGCCUAGGAAUCUGCCUGGUAGUGGGGGACAACGUCUCGAAAGGGACGCUAAUACCGCAUACGUCCUACGGGAGAAAGCAGGGGACCUUCGGGCCUUGCGCUAUCAGAUGAGCCUAGGUCGGAUUAGCUAGUUGGUGAGGUAAUGGCUCACCAAGGCGACGAUCCGUAACUGGUCUGAGAGGAUGAUCAGUCACACUGGAACUGAGACACGGUCCAGACUCCUACGGGAGGCAGCAGUGGGGAAUAUUGGACAAUGGGCGAAAGCCUGAUCCAGCCAUGCCGCGUGUGUGAAGAAGGUCUUCGGAUUGUAAAGCACUUUAAGUUGGGAGGAAGGGCAUUAACCUAAUACGUUAGUGUUUUGACGUUACCGACAGAAUAAGCACCGGCUAACUCUGUGCCAGCAGCCGCGGUAAUACAGAGG
rnacentral:rRNA from 1 species